UUCAGAGUUAGACAAAGCAUCAUUGUCUUUAGGGCUUUUUCUGCACAGAGAUCAGGAUAAGAAAAGGAAAAACAUCCCAAGGCCUAACAGUGAAGGCAUCUGUUGCUGACCACACUGAGGGCUGUGGCUUCUCUUCAGACCUGGACUGGUGAGGUCUGCAGGCCUCUGGGCUGAGCCCGACUCCUCUUCAGCCUCAUUAACCCAGAAAGGGGUCUGGAGAGGUGAAUUUAGGCAGAUUCCAACGAGCAAGAACUGAUCAUCGUUCCUGCUUACCGCUGGUUGUUCUGGACAAGAAGUGAUAGACGAGAACCCCAAGGCUCAGCAGGGGAAAGAGAUUUGCAAAGAUGGCCAACAGAAGACAGUCCAGGAUGCUCACAACUCCCUGGGGUGAACGUUACCCCUGCCAAUGUCACACUUCCCCAAGGAGAGAAUACACCCCUGCCCCAGCAGUUCAGGCACAGCUGUCCUGUCUCAUUCUUACAGAACAGAGGGUCUGCAGGCAUCUCAGUAAGAUACUAAAGCAAUUUGUUUUAUUUGUCCAAGGGAAUACUGCCCUUAUUUGACUGAAUAAGCAUAAAUAGCCAGGGAGGGGUCUGUUUGUGGCGUCACCAUCUGCACCAGCAGAAGAGCCCUCACACAUUGUCUCUUUCCCAGCAGCUGCAGUUCUCCUAAAGAAGUCAGAUCAAGUUCAGGUUUAAAAUAAGUAAUCUGGAUUUGCAAGGUGCCAUGAGGAUGGCAGUGCCACUAUACCAAUUCCCCAGGGAACUAUUCCCAGGGCUCCAGGCCCCAUGGUUUGACUUCUCUUCUCUGGCAUGAGAAAUCAGUGUAUUCUCACAUUGUCUCCUGAGAUUCAGAUCCUCUGCCAAACGAUGGAUCUGAAACCACUCUCAUCUCUACCUCCAUGCUUCAACACCUCCAUCUGCUCCAGAGUGGACUACUUGGGACAGAUACAUAAAAAUAAAAGACAGUGUUUCAGGGAAAGGGAAGAAGUGUGGACCUUUGGUGGAUACCCAUUCUACUUCAUUGGAUCAUCCUGAUAACUCAAUAUGCUCAGUGUUAUUAUCACAUUGUGUAGAUGAGGCUGAGAACAUGCGCUUGUCUGUGGUCACACUACUGUGCAGUGAUGGAGUUGGAAUACCAGCUCAUUUGUCAAAGCCUGGGUUCCCCUCAAAGCUUCUUAAACUUUGGCAGGACUAAAAUACUCCUAAUGCAAGAGAUGGGUAAAUGCACACUCCCGGGUGAGCUUGGGGCUCAGUAUACACAGUCCGUGGUGUUCAGUCAGCAUGGAACAUUGUUCCUGGCCUUUCACUGAGAAGACUCUCAUUGGUCCUUCCCUCAGCCAGUCAUUUCCUCCAGGAAGCUAUUUCUGAGCUCCCCGGUCUAGGCUCCGUUGCCAACCCCCGAGGUGCUCCAAUAUUGCAUAUUCUGUGAGGGCACUCAGCUUGUGUUGUGUUGCUUAAUUAUUUGUCGGUGUGGCCUCAGGAGGUCAGGGACCACAUCUGCCUUGUGUCUUCCUAUAGGUACCCCCAGCAGCCAGCACACUGCUCAGCACAGUAUAACUGCCCAAUGAAUAGCUGUUGAGUAAACAUUGACUCCAGCUAAAGCUUCUAUCUCAUGUGUAAAUUGCCUCUCGAACAGAUCUGUUAGUUAUAAUCCAGCCUCUUCAAACACAGCACCAACAACAGAAAAUUCAGAAAAUGAAGAGGCAAAGACUGGAUGCAGUGGCUCAUGCCUUUAAUCCCAGCCAUCUGGGAGGCCAAGGCAGGAGGAUUGCUUAAGCCUGGGAGUCAGAGACCAGCCUGGAAAACAAAGCGAGACCCUGUCUCUACAAAAAAAAAAAUUUUAAUUAGCCAGGUGUGAUGGCAUACACCAGUUAAAAUGGGAGGAUCACUUGAACCUGGGAGGUCGAGGCUACACGAGCAGUGAUGGCACUGCUGCACUCCAGCCUGGGCAACAAGUCAACCCUGCUCAAAAAAAAAAGAGAGAGGCAAACCCUUCUAUGUUCAUCCCACACCAUACCCAUUCUACUCCAUAUUCUUUGUUGAUUGUUUGGGUUUCGUUUUGUUUUGUUUUUUGAGACAGGGUCUCACUCAGUUGCCCAGGCUGGAGUGCAGUGGCACAAAUACAGCUCACUGCAGCCUCAUCCUCCUGGGUUCAAGGGAUUCUCCCACUUCAGUCUCUUGAGUAGCUGGAACUACAGGUGCAUGCCACCAUGCCCAGCUAAUUUAAACAAUUUUUUGUAAAAACGGGGCUCUCACUAUGUUGCCCAGACUGGUCUUGAACUCCUGGCCUCAAGCUAUCCUCCCGCCUCAGUGUCCCAAAGUGCUGGGAUUAUAGACAUGAGACAUCAUGCCAGCCUACGGCAUAUUCUCUGUAUUCCAGGCACACUGGCCCUCCUUGAGUUCCUUAAAUGCUCUAUGAUCCCUCCACCGCAUGGCUUUUGCACACCCCAUUCCCUCUAAUCCCCACUCUUGCUCUUUCUCCAGAUCUCAGCUCAGUCCCAGUUCAUGUUCUUGGGGCACCAUUUGGCUCUCUCUCAUACCUUUAAGCACAUGGUUUGUGUCUGAUUGCAUGUCUUGCACUGCGAAGGCAGGUGUGAGGUUUUUUUGGUCUUUGUUUACCCUCGUGUCUCCAGCAUCUAGUGGCUGGCAUAGUGUACAAGCUCAGUACACUGUGCCUGAACAAUGAAGUGAUGUUUAAAUGGAGGUCUGUGCAGGUGGAGUAUUCUAAGCAGGAGAAACAGGUAGAGCAAAGCCCUGAGGAAAGAGAUAUCAAGUUGCAUUUAAGACUGAACGAAGCCCACUGUAGCUGAGCCAUAGAGAAUGAGGGGGAAGAGCGCAUCAUGGUAAGGCUCUAGAGAGGUAGGCAGAGCCUCACAGGGUCUUAAAAGUGAGUUAAGACCUUUGACUUGCCACCAUCGGGUUUUAAGCAGGGUGGUAAUUCUCCCGUUCUGCACAGGACCUCUACUAAUGCCACCCCAUGAGGGAAGGUGGUCUUUUAAACCAGAGGUCAGCAUAUUGCAUGCAUGCACAUUAAAUGUCAUCAUAGUUAGCUGAGUCUAUUGUUCUAACCUUCUGAGAUCAUUUUGAGCCUUCUUUGUGCCUUCUAGCUUGGCAUCAUCAGCAAUUUGUGGUAAUAGAAGGGGGCCCGCCUAUCAAGAAAUAUCAGAGAAAACAAAGGCAGUACAGUUCCACGGGGCUCCAACCACAACACAAGUCCUAGCUCCUGUGGCAUUGGGAAUUCCAGCCAUGGAUGUCUGGGACUAUAACCCGGAUCUCUAAUAGACUACAAGUUCAGCAGUGUCAUCCUUGCAUACUCUAACGUUUUAUGUACAUAUCCUUUUUUUUUUAUUUUUUAAUUUCCCUUUUUCCUCUUUAAGCCCUCCCUAAUAAAGGACGUGGAGAGGAAGAGUUCCUUGCUUACUUCAACCAUAUAAACUGGAUUUUUCUUUUCUUUUCUUUUUUUGAGACAAGGUCACUCUGUCACCCAGGCUAAAGUACAGUGGCACAAUCAUAGCUCACUGCAGCCUCAACUUUCUAGCUUCCUAUCCUCCUGCCUCAGCCUCCCAAGUAGCUGGGAUUACAGGCACAUGCAACUGGACCUGGCUUUAUUUUUUUUGUAGAGACAGGGUCUUGCUAUGUUGCCCAGGCUGGUCUUGAACCCCUGGGCUCCAAUAAUCCUUCCACUUCUGCCUCUCGAAGUGCUGGAAUUAUAGUCAGGGGCACCAUGCCCAGCCUAUAAAUUGGAUUUCUUUUUUCCCUGAAGAAAUUUUUAUUGUUUUCUUCCUGCUGUCUGAUGUGUUUUAAUAAAUAGAAUGUUUGUCUUUUGUUUGCAUAUAUUCCAAG
rnacentral:lncRNA from 10 species